GUAGGGAGCGAGCGUUGUCCGGAAUUACUGGGUGUAAAGGGAGCGUAGGCGGGCUUGUAAGUUGAAUGUCUAAUCCACCGGCUCAACCGGUGAUCGCGUUCAAAACUGCAGGUCUUGAGUGAAGUAGAGGCAGGCGGAAUUCCUAGUGUCGCGGUGAAAUGCGUAGAUAUUAGGAGGAACACCAGUGGCGAAGGCGGCCUGCUGGGCUUUAACUGACGCUGAGGCUCGAAAGCGUGGGGAGCAAA
rnacentral:rRNA from 1 species